rnacentral:rRNA from 1 species
AAAUUGAAGAGUUUGAUCAUGGCUCAGAUUGAACGCUGGCGGCAGGCCUAACACAUGCAAGUCGAACGGUAACAGAGAGCAGCUUGCUGCUUUGCUGACGAGUGGCGGACGGGUGAGUAAUGUCUGGGAAACUGCCUGAUGGAGGGGGAUAACUACUGGAAACGGUGGCUAAUACCGCAUAACGUCGCAAGACCAAAGAGGGGGACCUUCGGGCCUCUUGCCAUCAGAUGUGCCCAGAUGGGAUUAGCUUGUUGGUGAGGUAACGGCUCACCAAGGCGACGAUCCCUAGCUGGUCUGAGAGGAUGACCAGCCACACUGGAACUGAGACACGGUCCAGACUCCUACGGGAGGCAGCAGUGGGGAAUAUUGCACAAUGGGCGCAAGCCUGAUGCAGCCAUGCCGCGUGUAUGAAGAAGGCCUUCGGGUUGUAAAGUACUUUCAGCGGGGAGGAAGGUG